GUAAAUAAAACAAAUGAUUCCUUUUUUUUAGAUGAUCUAUUACAAUGACUUCACAAUCUUGGGCUUAAGUUGUUUAUUUUAAAAACAGAUUGAAGCAGAGGCAGCUGCUCUAUGUUGUUGGGUAGAAGAUGGUUGGUUAUUUUUGUUAACUGGUGUUCAUGCAAUAAAAGCUGCCUAUAAUAGUUUUCCAAUUGAUUAUUCAUGGAACAAGCUUAGAGUUAAAAGAUUUAAAGUUACUGGAGGUGUAAGUUUAUUUAGAAAAGUUCUGGUGGAUCAAAGAUAGAGGAAUGAUAUGGUUUUAACUGGUUUCCAUCUUAUAAACGAAGUACAUUAUAUGAUUUAAAUUGAUGGUUUAUAGUUACAAUUAUUCAAAUUCUGUAUCUCAAUGAUAUCCUGGCUUAUCGAUACGAUAUCCUGUUAAUUGGAUUUUUAUAUAUUGCAUAAAUAUAUAUGCAAACACUCA